ACCAAUUUCGAAUAUUUGACUUACAGGAUAUUACAACAGGCAACAAAUCUUUAUAAUAACAUACUAAUUCGUCGUUUCUUACGUAAAUUUCUAUGUUUUUUUUGUUUGUUUUUUUUAAUUUACUUUGAAAGGGUCAAUACUCACACAUGAACUUUAUGAAGAUGCCACCCAUUUCUAUAGUAAUGUAAGAGCCUAAUAAAGAACCGGGUGCUACAUAGUGCGUGCAAAAAAUAUGUGCCAAAUGGACUUUGGAUACAAAAGAUCAAGGAAACCCCAUAGAGGUGUAAGUAAUGAAAAAAAAAAUCGAUAUUUUUCUUGCAAUCACGCCACUUAUGAUCGCCACAGAUCCAAUGUGAAUACCGUAACAUGACAUAGACUAAUAUUUAUUUAAAUCAUACUAAAUUCCAGCGUUAGAAAUCUUUAAUGAUUUCCUAGCUCUUUAUGAACCCAGAAUAACAUUCUGAUCGCCACAUUC